UACGUAGGGGGCGAGCGUUGUCCGGAAUCAUUGGGCGUAAAGCGCGUGUAGGCGGCCCGGUAAGUCCGCUGUGAAAGUCCAGGGCUCAACCCUGGGAUGCCGGUGGAUACUGUCGGGCUCGAGUCCGGAAGAGGCGAGUGGAAUUCCUGGUGUAGCGGUGGAAUGCGCAGAUAUCAGGAAGAACACCCGUGGCGAAGGCGGCUCCUCUGGGACGGUACUGACGCUGAGACGCGAAAGCGUGGGGAGGCGAACAG
rnacentral:rRNA from 1 species